UGGGGAAUAUUGGACAAUUGGCGAAAGCCUGAUCCAGCCAUGCCGCGUGUGUGAAGAAGGUCUUCGGAUUGUAAAGCACUUUAAGUUGGGAGGAAGGGCAUUAACCUAAUACGUUAGUGUUUUGACGUUACCGACAGAAUAAGCACCGGCUAACUCUGUGCCAGCAGCCGCGGUAAUACAGAGGGUGCAAGCGUUAAUCGGAAUUACUGGGCGUAAAGCGCGCGUAGGUGGUUUGUUAAGUUGGAUGUGAAAUCCCCGGGCUCAACCUGGGAACUGCAUUCAAAACUGACUGACUAGAGUAUGGUAGAGGGUGGUGGAAUUUCCUGUGUAGCGGUGAAAUGCGUAGAUAUAGGAAGGAACACCAGUGGCGAAGGCGACCACCUGGACUAAUACUGACACUGAGGUGCGAAAGCGUGGGGAGCAAACA
rnacentral:rRNA from 1 species